GAUGAACGCUGGCGGCGUGCCUAAUACAUGCAAGUCGAGCGAAGCGGGGACGGGGGAGUAACACGAGGGGAACCGCCUAUAAGACUGGGAUAACUUCGGGAAAACGGAGCGAAACCGGAAAAUGAUAGAUGGAACCGCGCUGCAUUAGCUAGUGGGUAAGGUAACGGCUUACCAAGGCAACGCACCCUAGCCGACCGGAGAGGGUGAUCGGCCACACUGGCACUGAGACACGGUCCAGACUCCUACGGGAGGCAGCAGUAGUGAAUCUUCCGCAAUGGGCGCAAGCCUGACGCAGCCACGCCGCGUGUGUGAUGAAGGUCUUCGGGUCGUAAAGCUCUUUUAUUAGGGAAGCGGUACCUACUCAGAAAGCCCCGGCUAACUACGUGCCAGCAGCCGCGGUAAUUC
rnacentral:rRNA from 1 species